rnacentral:rRNA from 1 species
CAGUCGCCGCGGGAAUACGGAGGAUCCAAGCGUUAUCCGGAAUUAUUGGGUUUAAAGGGUCCGUAGGCGGUCUUGUAAGUCAGUGGUGAAAGCCCAUCGCUCAACGGUGGAACGGCCAUUGAUACUGCAGGACUUGAAUUAUUGGGAAGUAACUAGAAUAUGUAGUGUAGCGGUGAAAUGCUUAGAGAUUACAUGGAAUACCAAUUGCGAAGGCAGGUUACUACCAAUUGAUUGACGCUGAUGGACGAAAGCGUGGGUAGCGAACAGGAUUAGAUACCCCGGUAGUCCCUGUCUCUUAUAC